CGGACGGGUGAGUAACACGUGGGUAACCUACCUAUAAGACUGGAAUAACUCCGGGAAACCGGGGCUAAUGCCGGAUAAUAUUUAGAACCGCAUGGUUCUAAAGUGAAAGAUGGUUUUGCUAUCACUUAUAGAUGGACCCGCGCCGUAUUAGCUAGUUGGUGGGGUAAUGGCUUACCAAGGCAACGAUACGUAGCCGACCUGAGAGGGUGAUCGGCCACACUGGAACUGAGACACGGUCCAGACUCCUACGGGAGGCAGCAGUAGGGAAUCUUCCGCAAUGGGCGAAAGCCUGACGGAGCAACGCCGCGUGAGUGAUGAAGGUCUUCGGAUCGUAAAACUCUGUUAUUAGGGAAGAACAAAUGUGUAAGUAACUGUGCACGUCUUGACGGUACCUAAUCAGAAAGCCACGGCUAACUACGUGCCAGCAGCCGCGGUAAUACGUAGGUGGCAAGCGUUAUCCGGAAUUAUUGGGCGUAAAGCGCGCGUAGGCGGUUUCUUAAGUCUGAUGUGAAAGCCCACGGCUCAACCGUGGAGGGUCAUUGGAAACUGGGAAACUUGAGUGCAGAAGAGGAAAGUGGAAUUCCAUGUGUAGCGGUGAAAUGCGCAGAGAUAUGGAGGAACACCAGUGGCGAAGGCGACUUUCUGGUCUGUAACUGACGCUGAUGUGCGAAAGCGUGGGGAUCAAACAGGAUUAGAUACCCUGGUAGUCCACGCCGUAAACGAUGAGUGCUAAGUGUUAGGGGGUUUCC
rnacentral:rRNA from 1 species